rnacentral:rRNA from 2 species
UUAAUUUUGAACGAGUGGCGGACGGGUGAGUAACACGUGGGUAACCUGCCCUUAAGUGGGGGAUAACAUUUGGAAACAGAUGCUAAUACCGCAUAAAUCCAAGAACCGCAUGGUUCUUGGCUGAAAGAUGGCGUAAGCUAUCGCUUUUGGAUGGACCCGCGGCGUAUUAGCUAGUUGGUGAGGUAACGGCUCACCAAGGCAAUGAUACGUAGCCGAACUGAGAGGUUGAUCGGCCACAUUGGGACUGAGACACGGCCCAAACUCCUACGGGAGGCAGCAGUAGGGAAUCUUCCACAAUGGACGCAAGUCUGAUGGAGCAACGCCGCGUGAGUGAAGAAGGCUUUCGGGUCGUAAAACUCUGUUGUUGGAGAAGAAUGGUCGGCAGAGUAACUGUUGUCGGCGUGACGGUAUCCAACCAGAAAGCCACGGCUAACUACGUGCCAGCAGCCGCGGUAAUACGUAGGUGGCAAGCGUUAUCCGGAUUUAUUGGGCGUAAAGCGAGCGCAGGCGGCUUUUUAAGUCUGAUGUGAAAGCCCUCGGCUUAACCGAGGAAGUGCAUCGGAAACUGGGAAACUUGAGUGCAGAA